GUGGUUGUGGCUUAGUGGUAGAGCGCUUGCCUAGCAUGUGUGAAGCACUGGGUUCAAUUCUCAGCACCACA
rnacentral:tRNA from 1 species